rnacentral:SRP_RNA from 1 species
CAAGCAUCGCUAUUCGACUUCUGAUAGUGAACCUGGUCAGGUCUUGACUGAAGCAGCCAUAAGCUUUUUGGGAGGGUGGGUAGCGAUGCUUGAGU